CAGCAGCCGCGGGAAUACGAAGGGUGCAAGCGUUAAUCGGAAUUACUGGGCGUAAAGCGUGCGUAGGCGGUGAGUUAAGUCUGCUGUGAAAUCCCCGGGCUCAACCUGGGAAUGGCAGUGGAUACUGGCUCGCUAGAGUGUGUCAGAGGAUGGUGGAAUUCCCGGUGUAGCGGUGAAAUGCGUAGAGAUCGGGAGGAACAUCAGUGGCGAAGGCGGCCAUCUGGGACAACACUGACGCUGAGGCACGAAAGCGUGGGGAGCAAACAGGAUUAGAGACCCGAGUAGUCCCUGUCUCUUAUAC
rnacentral:rRNA from 1 species